UGAGGAAUCUUCCACAAUGGGCGAAAGCCUGAUGGAGCAACGCCGCGUGAAGGAUGAAGGUCUUCGGAUUGUAAACUUCUUUUAUGAGUGAAGAAUAUGACGGUAACUCAUGAAUAAGCACCGGCUAACUACGUGCCAGCAGCCGCGGUCAUACGUAGGGUGCAAGCAUUAUCCGGAGUGACUGGGCGUAAAGAGUUGCGUAGGCGGUUAUGUAAGCGAAUAGUGAAACCUGGUGGCUCAACCACACAGACUAUUAUUCGAACUGCAUAACUCGAGAAUGGUAGAGGUAACUGGAAUUUCUUGUGUAGGAGUGAAAUCCGUAGAUAUAAGAAGGAACACCAAUGGCGUAGGCAGGUUACUGGGCCAUUUCUGACGCUAAGGCACGAAAGCGUGGGGAGCG
rnacentral:rRNA from 1 species